rnacentral:rRNA from 1 species
GCAGCAGUAGGGAAUUUUCGGCAAUGGACGGAAGUCUGACCGAGCAACGCCGCGUGAAUGAUGAAGUAUUUCGGUAUGUAAAGUUCUUUUAUUUGGGAAGAAAAAACAAAUUGACGGUACCAAAUGAAUAAGCCCCGGCUAACUACGUGCCAGCAGCCGCGGUAAUACGUAGGGGGCAAGCGUUAUCCGGAAUUAUUGGGCGUAAAGGGUGCGUAGGCGGGUUAUCAAGUCUUUGGUUAAAAUGCGGUGCUCAACGCCGUAGUGCCAAAGAAACUGAUAGUCUAGAGUAUGGUAGAAGUGAGUGGAACUCCAUGUGUAGCGGUAAAAUGCGUAAAUAUAUGGAAGAACACCAGUGGCGAAGGCGGCUCACUAGGCCAAUACUGACGCUGAGACACGAAAGCGUGGGGAGCAAACAGGAUUAGAUACCCUGGUAGUCCACGCCCUAAACGAUGAGUACUAAGUGUAGCCAGAAGGCUGUGCUGAAGUUAACGCAUUAAGUACUCCGCCUGAGUAGUACGUACGCAAGUAUGAAACUUAAAGGAAUUGACGGGAUCCCGCACAAGCGGUGGAGCAUGUUGUUUAAUUCGACGAUACGCGAAGAACCUUACCAGGUCUUGACAUACUCGGCAAAUCUAUAGAGAUAUAGAGGAGGUUAACCGGGAUACAGGUGGUGCAUGGUUGUCGUCAGCUCGUGUCGUGAGAUGUUAGGUUAAGUCCUGCAACGAGCGCAACCCUUAUUGCUAGUUACCAUCAUUAAGUUGGGGACUCUAGCGAGACUGCCGGUGAUAAAACGGAGGAAGGCGGGGAUGACGUCAAAUCAUCAUGCCCUUUAUGACCUGGGCUACAAACGUGCUACAAUGGCUGACACAAAGAGAAGCGAGCUCGCGAGAGUAAGCAAACCUCAGAAAAGCA